rnacentral:rRNA from 1 species
AUACGGAGGGUGCAAGCGUUACUCGGAAUCACUGGGCGUAAAGCGCGCGCAGGCGGUCUUUUAAGUUGGAUGUGAAAGCCUACGGCUCAACCGUAGAACUGCAUCCAAAACUAUUAGACUAGAGUGUGGGAGAGGAAGAUGGAAUUAGUUGUGUAGGGGUAAAAUCCGUAGAGAUAACUAGGAAUACCAAAAGCGAAGGCAAUCUUCUGGAACACUACUGGCGCUGAGGCGCGAAAGCGUGGGGAGCAAACAGGAUUAGAUACCCUAGUAGUCC